rnacentral:lncRNA from 1 species
UAACUUCACUAUGCUAAUCAUUGUUGCCUUAAUCUGUGUGUCAUUUCUAAAGUGGACAACUAAAUAGGGACGGAGGGAGUAUAAAAAUAAAGAAACUUAAUUUUUGUGAAAAUGAGGGAUCAAUAAUAUAUAACUUCGAAGAAAAAAAGAAUUUUUGAAAACAAAUUUAUAUGAGGAGACAAAGUAAGAAAUCAUUGUCCUGAAAACCAAUCCCGUUACAGAUUUUUACUAGGAAUAGAAAUUGGUUCAUCUGCUAUAGUUUCACAGUGCAAAGGUGCACUGUAUCCAGCCUGUAAGAGGUAAGACAAAUUAAGGAACAGUACACCAUAACUAUUUUUUUAUUUUUUUUAAGAAUUCUGAAUUAUGUACAAAUAAAUCAAAGAGUUGUCCUUCGGGAUGGUUCACUUAGUUUGGAGGGUGGACUGUGAUCGAUCCCCCUCAAUGUCUUUUGAGUCGAAUCCAUCGCAUAGGGCUUGCCUAGUGCGGUUUACAUUUUCUGUGUGGUUUGCAGGCUAUUAUACAAUGGGGUUUACCCAACGCGCACAAAGUGCUCGCCCAAAGGACAGAAGUUGUAGCGACUGCGAGUUAUCCUGAAAUUCCAAAAGAAAAUAAAAAAGCUACACAAGAAAAUGUAUGUUGCGCAGUCAGAAUUUGAAUUUUUAUAGAUUUUAAAUUUUACUAUAGUAAUAUCAAGUGUUAGUAAUAAGAUAUUGAUUUAGGUUUUGUGCAUGUUUGGUGAUAUUAUUGUUAUUUUAGUAAUACAAAUACAGAGUUUGGACUCUUAGGUCAAACUCGUAGAUGACCCACUACAAAAAAGUCAUUAUUUUACCAUUCAAAUUUCUUAUUGAAAAAUGUAUGUCUAUUUUUAUAAAUAUUUUGAUUGAAUUGGUGAGAAAAAAAAUAAUUAGUAUUUUUAGAGGAAAAAAUAGAAAGUUAUCCAGUAUUUCAAUGAGAAUAUAUUAUCAGUGAGAAAUGAAUGAGAAAAAAAUCAUAUUUUAUCAUACAAUUUUUCAUUGAUUCGCAUAGCGAAAAAUCUUUAUUUCUAAUAGAGAUUUUCUAGCUCCGCCCUUGAAUUGGGGAUGGAUAAAAUUCAUUCACUCUAAAAGAUCUCGAGGUUAAGCUCAUGAGAAUGCAGAACCUUUGGUAGGAGUUGGAGGGGGACCCAGAUUUGAAGUUUAUAACUUCUUAUGGUGACCUCAAUUAGUUUAUAUAUAAUAAUAAUUGAACUUACGAUCAAAUAUCUACAAGUACUUAAUGUUUUUUUUUUUAAUAUUUAUACAAAGCAUGUGUAAAAGCUAAUGUUUCACAUGAAUAUGUUUACAAGCGUUUCUCCCUUAGCUUGAAUAGACCUUAUAUAAUGCAAAUUUGAAUUAAUCUAGGUAUCAUAUGGUAUAAAAAGGAGUGGUAGUAGUCAUUGGCGGAUCUAGAAUUUUAAGGUUAUGGGUGCUCUGAAAGUGGCCGAGUCAAAAAUAUAAAAAAACAUGUUAACAGUGAGAUUCAAACCCGGACUCAACAACAUUAAAAGAGCCUUAAACACCCACCCAAGAGCUAAUGGAUCAAUCGGAUCAUUUGUUUAUUAGGUGCUGGAUCUAUGUUAAUUUUAUACAAAUACCUCUUAAUUUCUACAUAGAUAUAUAUAUAUAUAUUCCGAGACGAGGAUAAUGGGUGCUCGAGCACCCGACGGACUCUACGUGGGUCCGCCCCUUAGUAGAUGAAAGAACAAGACCUUCUCCCCAUCCCUUUUCCUUCUUUAUCAAAGGAAAUAAUGAAAGCACUAGAAGUAUAGGGAAAUAUAAGCUCUCAUUGUCACCCAACCAUAAAUGGUACAUUAUACAUCAUCCCUUUUUUGUUCAUAGUUAUCUAGACUUGUGAAAGCAACUUCCAGGACAACCCCUUCAGGUAGACCAUUUAUUGUGGUUCUCCUAAUAAUAAUAAUGCCAGACAGUCUAAAAUUCUUAAACAGGACAAUCCACAUAUAUAUUAAUAUUCCCCACCCCCACUAUACUUUUUAGGACUUGAAGUUGAAGGAUAUAUAUAUAUGCAAUAUAAUGUGUAGGUAUUUGCAAAGGCGGCGGCAUGUAUAUAUGGAAAUUAAGGAAGAAUUAAGUUAUUAGUGGCUUGCAAAGAUGAAUAUCCUAUCAAUUGUGGAAAAUUGCUUAGCAAUGAAGUAGUUAGAUGGCUAAAAAUGAAGUAAAAGUGGAAAGAAGAUGGACUAGUGGACUCAAUUAAUGGCUAGGGUUUUAAAGGAGGUCUUGUGAACAUCAUAAGCAAAACACAAAGAGAAAUAGAGUACUAUUUAAAAAAAUGUGAUGACGUGAUUAAAUAUUCCUGAUUGAGUUUGAAUUUUGUGAAUGAAAAAUGUUUUAUUCUAUUGUGAAAUUACUCCAUAAAAUUGUUAAAAGUGAUAGGACAAGAUCAGUGCGGGACUUUUAAUUUGUCAUUUUUUAAUUAAAAAAGUGAAAUGAGUCUUGCUCUUGUAUCAUGUAAAAUUAAGUCUCGAGCCUAACUCAAACCACAAAAAUCAGCUCAACGGAUAUAAGAAAUCCACCCAUUUUAUUAACCAACAAUGUGCGACUUCGGUCCUUCUUUAACAUUUAGAAGAGGUCUUGCGAACAUCGAUAACAAGUAGUACAAAGCAUAAUAACCAACCAAGGUACACACUGUGUGAUGAUUGGGAAUUACUAGAGUACACCUAGUUAUGCGAAUGAAAAAAAAUUAGUAGUACUUAAUAAGAAAUGCUUUACUUACUCUUUAGUUAAUAAGACAUCCUAUAUAUCCAAAUCAGUAAAUUUUGCAUUCUAAAUGCUGGUAGAAAAAAGAAAAAAAACCCAACUAAAAGUAGAUGGACAAUAAUGGCUCAAUGGGUAGGGUUUAUAAGGGAAGUCUUAUAAACAUCAUGAGUAGAAAGUACAAGUAGAAUUUUUCUUUUUUCUAAUGAGUGUGUGCUACACUAAUACUAAUAUGAUAUUUGGCUCGAAUUAUUCAUAUCCUUAUCACUAUCUAAACUUGGUAGAAAGUCAUGCUGAUGAAGAAAAAAAUAGUGGGGUAAUUAGAAAGAGGGGGUGAUGGUGGUGUUUUUUUUUUAAUUAUGGAAGAGAUAGGUAUCUACUCUUUUGAUUGAAAGUGACAUUUAGUUCUGAGCAUCCUGGUCAAAAGUUGCUUUUGCCUUCACAAACAUUUUCUAUAGACUGACUGACUACUCGUGAGGAAGAGGCCAUCGUAGCUUCUGCUCACGCAACGCAACCCUUACUGUUGUAAUAUAUUACCUCAAAAAUCUGAGGUAGUAAUAUGUUUUGUUACUUUGAAAUACUUUUACUUGUCGACUUUGAAAUUGGCCAUGUAUAGUAUAAUUAACUUCAUUAAUACCUUUACUAGAGUGUUGAAUUCGAAAGGAUUUAGAAGGAUGCUUUGUGAAUCGAGCAAACAACUAAAUACAAGAAAAUAGAUAUAGAAAAGGUCUUUUGUGUGAGAUAUAAGGUGAGUUUUAUUGAAUAAUAAGUGAAUUUCUUACUUAUUUUUUUAGUGUUUACUAUGUGAACGGAAUGGGAGAGGAGUGAUGGUUCGGGGUACUGUUGGGAUGGUCAAAUUAAGGAGGGGGUGGUAGUGUUGGAAAGAAAUAAUGAACUUAGGAGUUGUUUGAUUUGAAUUCAAGUUAUGAUGAAAUUAAUUAUGAUGGGAUAAGUUAUGCUAAAAUUAUUUUUUAUUGAGUGUUUGGUUUGUUGUAUUUAAAAUAAUAAAUCUUAAGAACAUAUAAGUUUACAAAAAUACCUUUUAUGGAUAUGAAAAGUAAUGUAUAAAAAGUGUUUAAAGGGACAUUUUUGUCAUUUAGUCAUUUUAUCCCAGGAUUACUAUACCACCCAUGGGAAGGGAUAACUUAUCCCGAUAGUAAUUAUUAAUUCCGGGAUAAGUUAUCCCGGAGUUGCCAACCAAAUAAAAAAUUAAGUGACACUAUAAUUUAAUCUCAGGACUAUUUUAAGUUAUUUUUCACACCAGACGACCCCUUACAAUAUUACUUUUCGAGCUUUUUUUUCUACUUUGAUUAAAGAAGUCAUUUUUUUAAUUUAAAAAAUGAAAAAAAUUCUAAAACAUGGAAUCAACCAAAAAUGAAAUAAUUGGAAAAUAUGUUUUAGAAAAUAAAAUGUUUUUCUUUCGUACUAAACAGGCAAACACACUCUAUAGACUCCAAGUUAAAAGAGGGAAAUUAAACUCUUGUGGAACAAAAAAGAGGGAAACUAAAAGGACAAUAAUUUUUCAUCUUUUGAGUUGAGACUAAAGGCAAAAGCUAAGAAGCAAAUAAUUACUCUCUUGUUUAUUUUAUUUUUAUUUUUUUUCACAUUAGAGGGGAGAAGGGAGAAAAAGGAAAGGAGAAAGGGAUGUUACUCUACUGAUAGAGUCUGAACCCCUUCAUCUCAACUGUGGGAAGCAGAUAAUUCACUAAAGUCGGUUAGUCCUCAACAACAACAUACUCAGUAAAAAAAAAUUAUGAAGCGUUUAAGAAAAGUAUAGAACCUACCUUGCCACAUAAAAAUAAAGAGGUUGUAUUUGAAAAACCUCGACCUAAGUACUACAUAUUAACAGAUAAAUUACAAGUCAACUAACCCUCAACCCCAAUAUUUAUUUCAAGUUGUUAGGGAUCACUUAAGGGCUUUUUCCUUUUCUCCUUUUUGUUCUUAUUUUACGGGGAAGAUGAAGGUUAAAGAGAUGGUGGAUGAUGGAGCUAGGAAAGAGGGGAUUGAAGGGUAUUUUUUUUUUUGUCAAAGUAUGUGUCAGUGCUGUCACGUGAACUUGAAGCUAAGGGGAACAUUUAGAGAGUGUUUGGAUUGACUUCAAAAUUGGUCAAAUCUAUUUUUAAGUCAAUUUUUACUUUUGAAAGUGUUUGACAAAUAUAAAAAAUAAUUUAAAAUAAGUAAAAAAUAACUUAAAAUAAGUUGAAAAGUGUUUGAUAAGGUAAAAAAUAACUUAAAAUAAGUUUAAAAUGACUUAAAAUAAGUCAAAAGCCAAAAGUAGGUCUUCCCUUACUUUUUUUUUGAAUUAAAAGUCAUUUCAGUUUAAUUUUUUAUUUUUGACAUAAAAACUACUUUUUUUUAAGUCAAUCCAAACGGAUUCUUAGAGAAGUUUUUAGCUAUGAUUACCAUUCACUUCACUCGUAUAAAAAAUCAUAAUACAUGAACAUGCUAUUUAACUUAAGCUUUAACUGACAGUUAUAUCUUUUAACUUUGAUUGUGCACGAAUAUACACUUAAAUUAAUAUAAAAUUUAAACAAAUAGACACAUUUGUUCUAUCUAACAAUGGUGUGUCUUACAUGUAUUAUGUCAUAUAUAAUACAUAUGUUUACUUAUUUAAUUUUAUACAAAUUUAAAUAUUUAUUUAUAUACACUCAAAAUUAAAAGGUAUAAAUGCCAAGCUAAAACAAACUUAAAUGACACAUCUAUAUAUUAUUUCAAUAAAAAAUCAGUUGUAACUAUACAAGUAGUAGAGUGUCCCCUCCACUCUUUUUUCCCCCAAAUUCCCUUUCAUACUUUAAAACUCCCACAUGAGAAAGCUAGAGAAUGUUUUUUUAAAAUUUUUAUUUUUGUGGUAUUUGCACCAAUUUACACAUAUUUUGAUUAAUUUUAUAGAAUACUUGUCAUCACUUACUAGCAACAUAAAUGGAAUUACUUAUUAUUUUUUUUGUUUCUAUUAAAAUUUAAACGUGAAACCUCAUGAUUCCUAAUUAUCCACUUCAGUAACCACCAAGUCACACCAACCCUUGGUGCAAGCGAAGCCUUCUUUAUCUUUAUAUCAGAUAGGGGACCUUUGUAAAAUGGAAGUACGGUUACACCUCUCUUUGUCUCUUUGCAGCUAAUAACAUAACAUGACUGCUCUUUAUCUUCAUCUUUCUUUCUUUGUCAACAAGAACAUACACCACCAUGGCUGUCUUUCUCACUAGCUAAUAUAUUCCAGCUAGCUAGCUUAAAUACAUGGUGCUCAAACUCGCACGAACACAAAAAUAGCCACUAAUAUACCUAUACCUAGCUAUUAUUAUUAUUAUUAUCAUAAUUAAGCACACACCAAGCAACAUACAUGUAAAACCACACAUUUCACCUGUCCUUCUCAACCAAAAAGCUAUGUUAUCAUCAUUAUAUUAAAAAAAAAUAAAAAAAUCACAUAUCCUUCCCCACUUUCUCUAUGUGCUAUCUUUGUAUUCAAAAUUUAUAUAUUCAAGAGAAUUAUGAAGAGUCUCUCUCAAAAAAAGUUUUUAAAUUAAUUUAUAACGUUUUUUUUGUUGUUGAUGAAGCUAGCUAGCUAGCUUAUUAAAAGUGACAAAACUCAAGAAGGUGAUGUUUGUGGUUCUUUCAAGUUGAAUAGAAGUGUAGUAGGUUGUCCUUAUCAAGCAGUUUUUUAAAGAUGUACCCUUCGAGCCCCAAUAUUUCCAGCUCUUCAUCUUUCUUUCACAUUAAUAUUCCAUCUCCUUCUAUGCAAUAUGAACCGGAAUUCAUCCAAUAUUUCCAUGACUUUCAAUUCAUCCAACCUGCAGCUUACGAUCAGAAUAAUUUGGAUACCAAUAUUACGGCAGAAGAAGGUGAUCAUAAGAUGGAAGAAGAUGAAUUGAUCAUGAAAAGCUGCAAGAACAAGAAGGAUGAGAGUACUAGUACCACUACUACUAUUCGUAGGAAAAACAACAAGAGAACUACGAGUGGUACUGGUGUAGGACCUUCGAAGAAAGAUAGACACAGCAAAAUAAACACGGCACAUGGCCCAAGAGACCGAAGAAUGAGACUUUCACUUGAAAUUGCUAGAAAAUUCUUCAAUUUGCAAGACUUGCUUGGGUUCGAUAAGGCUAGCAAAACUGUAGAAUGGCUACUCACAAAGUCAAAAUCAGCUGUAAACGAUCUCGUUCAGAAAAUUAGCAAAGGAAAAUGCAGCGCUAGUACAAAUCCUAAUAUUGGUGUUGUAUCAUCUCCCUCCGAGUCAUGUGAAGUCAUAUCUGGAGUAAUCGACGAAUCAGCAGCAACUAAUAAUACUCACAAGCAACAGAAGAAAAAAAAGUCGAUUCGUAGGGCAAUAUUUCAUCCAGUUGUUGCAAAGGAAUCAAGGACAGAAGCAAGGGCAAGGGCAAGGGAAAGAACAAAAAUAAAGAAAAGCCUAAAUAAUAAUAAUGGUGAUCAAUCCAUGGCGCCUGAUGAGGAUUUAACAAGAUCAUUAGGAUCUUGGAGUACUACAUUUGAAGAUCAUCAAUCAGGUAUUCAAGCCUAUAAUAAUACUAACAAUAUUAUGAAUGCUGUUGAUAACUUUAAUUUGGUGGAUACUAGCAAUUGGAGCCCAUUUAUGUUCAACUAUCACCAAAUCAAUACUGAAAUUUCUCAGGAGGUAUGUAUUAACUUAAUUAGAUUAUUAUUAUUAUUAUUAUUAAUCCGAUCGCCAAAUAUUUAUUUUUAUUUUUAUUCUUCUGUUGCAGCAUCAAUUGACAAACUUCCAGUAUCCUGGCAAGUUAUGGGAAGCUUAAUUAGGGCAAGGAAGUUCUACUUAAGCUUGUUGAUUUAGUGCAACUUCAGAAGAAGGCUAUUUGGUCAUGUUGGUAAUGUAAAAUGAAUUUGUCUAUUUUAUUAUUGAGUGUAUUCCAUGAAAAACAACUUGUAUUUUUCUUAUAAAUAAGCUCAUCUUUUUCUUUCAAGUCAUUUUCAAUAACAAAAGGAAACUAGACUUAUGUCCAUUAAUAAUUAAUCAUUAAAGAUGGGAACAUUAAUCCACUAAUUGAUAAGUAGUUCCAUUCUUUGACAGUUUACCAUUUAAUCAUCAAAUUGACUUUAUGUCAAAAUCCAAAUAUUAUCAUAAAAAAGUGAAGACUUCUUAUAAAAGUCCUAGAUCACACAAUAUCUUUGUAGUAUUUUUUGGAGGUAAGGUUCGAUCCCCUCGUAUAACCUAUACUUUUGAUGAAAUACAACACCAAGACAUAUAUGCCUAACUAAGAAAAAAGAACAAAGAUAUUGUUAACUAAGGUUUCUCUUAUAUCUUAUUGAUUCUAAACAUCUCAUAUAUAUUCAACAUAUAAUUAACUUAAUUUCAUAAAGUCAAAAUUCUUCUAUAGAUAAUGUUUGGAUAACUGUCCACUCAUAUAUAUAAUAAUAAUAAUAAUAUAUAUAUAUAUAUUCUGAUCAUGAAGUUUCAAAAGGAUUCCAAAACUAUUAUUUGCAUGAUAAGAUGCCACACAUAUAGAACAAAUUAAUAUAUUUAGCUUGUUGCAAUUGCAGUAGUAAAAAUUAAGAUUCGAAAAUAUUAUACAAUCCAAAAUUGUAACUUCUUUAUUAAAUCUUAAUAUUAAUGAGAAACAGCAUGUAUUAAUUAGCGGAAACAUAGGGAAAAUGAGCUUGAGGUGAGAUUAGAUGGAAUUUAGUUGCCAGAAGUAACCAAGAAACUACUCGACCUAGUACAUCUGUAAUAGUGACAAUGAUAAUAUUGAACUACGAAUGAUUCAGAUAACUAGGCUUAAUGUUCAAGGAGAAUGAUAUAAUAGAUAAAAAAUAUGACACAUAAAAUCAAAAUAGUAAGGAUGAUUGAAACAAAACAAGAGAAGUGCUACUGGUGUGUUAUGUGAUAGAAGUGGUAUCUUACCAAAGUGAUGAAAGUCAAGCUCUACAUACAAUAGCAUUAAAAUCAACAAAAUUGUAUAUAUAGGAGUUAAUGCUUGGCCUCUAAAGUCAAACAUAUCCAUAAAAUUAGCAUCAUAGAUCAAUAUGAAUUCUGUGAUGGAUGUAUUGUCAUAGAAGAUUGGACAAAAUAAAAGGUGAUCAAACCACAUUAGAUAGAAGGUGCAAGUAGCUAGCUAGUACACAUAAGAUAAAAUGAGAAGAUCGCUUGAGAUGAGCCUGAAAGUGUGAGAGUGUUAAAGAGGACGAGGUAGAACUAAAAUCACAUUGAAGGUAUUAGUCUUGAAAGACCUACAAUCUCUUUGAAUCCAUAAUAGUGAAAGAAAGAUCUCUAUAUAUAGGCGAUACCAAGUAGUUGGAAUUAAUUAGUUCUAGUCAUGUUAGUAUACUAAGUCCAAUAUUUGCUCUAUAAAUAUGAGUCUACUAGACUUGUUAGUUAUGUAUAUGUUAGUAAUAGUGAAGAGAACUUCUACAGCUAGUAAACUAGGUUUUAUAACAUUGAAUUGAUCAGAUGAGCUUAAAUGAAGCGACAUACAUAUAUAGUAAGGGUUCAUAUGGUAUAUCUCAACUUAUUUGAAACUGAGGCAUAACACCAUACAGAUUUAACAAAGUCUAUAGUUUAAUAUUAACGUAAUUCAUUGAGAGUUGGCGUAGAAAAUAGAGGCCUUAAAAGAUCUUGUUUUCAUGAAAUCAAUCAAAUAAUUCUCCAUAUCAACAUCUGAUGUAUGCUAGUGCAGGAAUUUUAAAUCAUCAGUCAUAUUAAUCCUUCAUUAGUUAUUCCUUGUUUCUUGCCUUUGUAUGGCAAAUCAAAAGGAAUAAAAUGAUACUGGUAACUAUUAUAGCACUUGUUAAUUAGUUAUAUCAUUCCAUUAACUAAGUGGAUGAAAAGACAAAUUUAUUAGGUGUAUCAAAGUAGUUUGAGAUGAAUGGUCAUAAAUAUGGCAUCGUUUCCAGAAUCAUUACUAUGAUCCUAGCAUAGCAUAUCCCUCUACACUGAUUUGAGUGCCAAGAGAUUCUCUUGUUUUAGUAAUUGUGCAUUAAUUCUGAGUUUUCUGAUAAAAGAAAUCAAUCUUGGACCUAUUUCAACCCUAAAAGUUAGCUCGUGAUUAGGGGGAGAUUGUCCAAGACUGUAUAAAGAGACCGCACGUCAAUCCCAUUUUCAUCCGACAUGCAUGUGAAUCUUCAACACCCCACUUCCCAACAUCGGUAAAUAAGAAGGGAGAUGGGUCCUGCUUUAAUACUAUGAAAAAGAAAUGGAUCUUAAGUCUAACUCAACCUAGGUUGCCCUAGACCAUAUAAGGGAUCCCUUUUUCAUCCGAUGUGAAACGGUCUUCAAUACUUUCAGGGUCAUUUGUUUGGGAACAAGUUAUCCUAGGAUUAAUUAUUCUGGGGUUAACUAUCUUGGAUAACUUAUCCCACCAUGUAUAUGUGAUAACUUAUACCGUUACACUAUGAUAUAAAUGAUGGGAUAAGUUAUCUCAAACAUGACAUCAAAAUUUUAUCCCUGGACUGUUUAUUUUUAUCAUUCACGCCAAACAACGUAACCCUUGAUUGACAAAACUUUUCAAUUCUACAAAAUUAAGGUUUAGUCAAAAAAGUCAGAGAAGAGGAUAAUGUUGUAAUAUUGAGGGAUGAUUUACUAGGUUACAUUCACAGUAUUUGAUCUUUACUAAUAAUAAGUCACAUCUGAUCUGAUCAGUGACACACCAAUUAAUGUCCUAAUAGUAACUUUUCCACUAUUUCAAGACGUAAUUUAAAUUUCAGGUACAAGACAAAUAAUUAAGAUAAUGCCGACUACUUCAAUAAUUAUGAUUUACUAGUACCAAAUGAUUUACUUUCAAGAAAGAAUUUCCCAACACUAGUUUUUGAUUCAUUAGAUGCAUAAAGGCUACUGAUCUCCCAUAAAUGCGCGCAAUAUAAAGAGUAUGAUAAAUAAGGGGUGUUUCAUUACAUAAAAAAUGACCUUUAGAGAUAAUUAAUUAACGAUAAUAGCUUAAUUGCCGCUAAAUAUGUAUUGUCCCUAAAGCCUAUAGGGACAUUGAAUCCAAUGACAAUUAACUAAUGCAGGUAAGAGUUUUAAUACUCUUUGUUAAUGUGCAUAUUUAUUUUCGUUAAAAGCUGUUUUUACUUUUUAUUGUAGUGUUCAUUGAUAUAGGAUGUAUAGUUGUAUACUAUUGAAUCAAUUAUGUCAUUGACUAAUCUAGGCAAAACAAGAUGUUAGAGAAAUAUGGAUAUGGUAGGGGUCUUGCCAAAGCCCCCCCAUCACACAGGAGGUGAACACUUCUGUGCGAAUGGUUUUUUGGUAUAAAAAAAAAAAGAUGUUAGAGAAAUUAAAGGCAUCAAAUUGGAAUAAUUUCUUCAAUUUUCUUAAUAUCAUAGUUUAAAUUGAUUAACAUGAAAGGUUUAUGUCCUCCUCCGUACAUGGACUUUGGGAUGGAUAGGGGUCAUGUCAAACCCCCACACCACCUCCGGUUAAUAUAGCACUCAUAAAAGGUUAUUAAUAGAUGAGGAUAAACAUAUGGGUGGCUUUGAGAACCAAGAAAUAAAGGUAGUGACUUAUAUAUAGUACCUGAAAAUGAUUCCUUAAUGAGCAUAAAAGGUUAAAAGAAGAAAGUUACUAAGAAAUAAAAGGAGAAAGGUAAUGGAUAGGUUAAAUGAACCAAAAAAGGAGAAGCACAAAAGUGGGGAACAAGAAAUUAAAUAAAACAUAUCCUCAUAGGUGACAUUCCCAAAUGAUUUAUCUUUUAUUUUUUUUGUGACCAACAUUUUUUUAUUCCUAAGUUUCUCCUCAAAUAUGUAGAAAAUAUGCAUAUAAUUAGACCUGAAGAGAAUUAAUUAGGAUCUAAUUAAUUUGUCACAUCUUCUUGUAGCUUUGUUAAAAUUGCAAGGUUUCUUUAGUUUACUAAUGUAAUUAAGUACACUAGAUAUAUCCCCAAAAGAGGAUGUGAUGCGGUGGAUAAGGUUACUCCUCCAUCAAAUAAAUGUUUCAGUUUCAAGCCCAAGAUAUGAAAGAAUUCCAGGUAGAGAGUGCUACCCCUGAAUCGACCUUACCCAGAUUCGAGUUUCAUUAUGAGUAUCGAACACGGAAUGAAAAAGCAAAAAAAAAAGAAGUACUUACAUAAACUAAAAAUCAGGAUUGAUUUUAAUUAUAUAUAAACAAAUAAUUAAUCUAACCUAAUUGUAAUUAUACUAUAUAUCUCUAUAUAUAAUCUAUAUAAAGCAUGUUACAACAAAUAUACAAAGCAUUAGCAUUUGGAUCUUGAGGAGUGCUUCUCUCUACCAAAAUAAGUGUUAUCUUAGCAAAAAUCAUGUUUAUUAAGAACUUAAUAACUAUAAUGUGUAGUUUAUAAAACUAUUCGGAUUUAAUAAAUGUUUUUUUUUGAAAGUUGAACAUUUUUAAGGAUAUGAAAUUUAAAAAUAUAGUUGAAAAAAAAUACUAUUUUUUAUCUUAAAUUUUUAAGAUAAAACUUAUUUCGGGACAACAUUAUUUUAUUAACGAGACACUUAUUUUAAGACAGCAAGAGUAUCAAUUUACUUAAAUGAUCGUAUAUAUAUAAACCAAGUGAUUUAAUUUAAGUCAUUGAGAGAGUUGUAUAUAUUUCCCAUCCACCUUUAUUCCCUUUAUAGUUAAGUUUUGAUUUGCGGAUGUGGAGACAAGAUAAAAGUAAAAUUUUCAUUAUUUAAAACUUGUUAUUAUAUGUAAGACAGUAGAUAUUUAUUUUAAAUGAUUAUUGCAUAUAAUUUUACAUAGAUUUUUUUUGAUUCAUGGGUUUUUAUAUUACAAUUAUCAAAUUCAUGUCAAUCAUCAUAUAUUUUAGUUGCAACAUAAGAUUUGUUGAGUUAAAUUUUGUUUAAAAACACACUUUUCCUUUCUUCUUUAUAAGUGACUAUAAAUAGUCAAAUAUUACACCCUCGUUUUUAGUUUAUUUAUUUUAAUUUAACUGAAUACAAAAAUUAAGGAAAUAAAGAAGUUUUUUCAAAUUUAAUAUUUUUAAACUAAAGAUACAUAAUAUAUCAAAAUGUAUUUUAAACUUACUAUCAUAAACACAUGUCACAUUAAAUAUUGAAAUUCAAAAGUUAUCAAAUUAAUUAGUUUUUUUUUUAAAUGGACUGUAAAAAAGUAAAACUGAAAGAGACAUGUUUUUUAUUACAUUAUAUAAUUUUCUCCAAUCAAAACAUAUGAUGAGUGUUCUACAAUCCACACAUGACACUUGGAAAGAAUCCAGGUUGAGUCCAAGUGACCAAAGACUCAGAGUCUCAAACACAACCGUCUAUUGAUUAAUAUUAUCGAUGUGAAAUAUCACAUGUAAAAUUUAUUUUUAUAAAUGAUGAUAUAUGUUACUAUUGCAGGCCCCUCUCUGCUUAUGCACUUCGUCUUGCUCUCCUCGUGGAAAAUAUAAAUUUAGAUCGAAUGUAAUAGCUUUAAUUUAAAUAGUAUGCUUAUUAUGAUAUUUUAGUUUCAUAUUAUUUUGAAUUUUGAAUUUAGAAUACACUUCUACCGUUGUACUUUCCACCGACCUAAAUAUGGUAAAGUAAAUCCUAGUAAUAGCAGUAAUAUUUGACUUGGAAGAACUUUACAGACAUGAUAUGGAUUCUAAAAUCCAAUUACUUGGUUUAAUUAGCUGGAGUUGGAAAUUACUAUUAAUUUUAUUUUUUUAAAUCCCAAUAAAAUUCACCUUCUUUAAAGGAGGCAUUAGUGAAGAUUCCAAUUUCUCAAUACUUAGAUUUAAAAAAAUAAAUAAAGUGAACAUAUAUAUGAUGCUAAGAAUUUUUUAUUUAGAAAAAAAUUGAAUUAAAAGCAAGAAGCAUGAUAGUGUCGCAUUUAGAGGCAGACCCACAUGGAAGAAGCACAUAUACCAAUUGACUUCAACAAAAAAGCAUCCCUCAAGGGCACGCAAUCCAAGUUGUGAUUUUAAACAGACAACCUAACGUAUGCAAAGUGAUGCUCAAACCACGCGUCCACUAGGUGAGCUUCAUCCAACUAUGCCCUUCUAUUUAAAUUUUUAUGUUAGUAUACAUCAGUUCUAUGGGUACCUUAAUAAAAUCUUCAUACAAGCAUCUUCAACUAACGUGCAUCUGCUUUUAGGUAUGUCUAAUUAUCUUUAAAUUUUGGAUCCGCCUUUUUGAAACCACCCAAGUGGUAAAUGACCAUAGUACAGAGUACAGAGCAUAUUUGCAGUCAAAAUUAAUGAAUUGUGGGAAAGAAGAGGAGUGUAUGUUUCUCAGUGUACUAUCCGACCCACGGCGACAAAAUUUUGAACCUAUGGUGGCCCGGGCAUACCAUAUUUGGUCCCCCAUCCUAUAAGGUGGAAUUAGCUUAGCUGCAGGCACCUACAGCACAAAUUUAGGGUUUUUGACCUAUCAUAUUGCUUCUUCCUCACUAGGGUUUCUGUAUAUACACGUGCUCUACCUGCACCCUCUUUGUACCAUGAACUUCUCUGAUAUUUUCUUCUAACCCUAGAAGAAAGAUAAAACUAGGGCUCAGAUUCCAUGGGGAAGGGUGAAAAUGGAAUAAAUGCCUAAAGCAUUUCAGAUCCGUUUGACACUAACAUGAGUUGUGAUGGGAUAAUUGAGAUCCAAAAUUUAAAAUUGAAUCUAUCUCGCUCCAAUACAGAUAUUGGACAGUAUUGGUGUAAAAGGUAAAGGAGGAGCAUCUGAAACUGUAAUUGGAGAAAAAAAGAACCCUGAAAAUAUAUGCCUAUAGAAUUUAAUUUGGAACUCUAUUUUUCUGAUGUGAUGAGAAAAAAACAAGAAAGAAUCAGAUGCUAAACUAUGCUACAGAUGAUAGAUAAGUUCAUCUAAUUAAUUAGAGUACCAUUUUUUGGUUCUGCUAAUUUGAAGCCGCCUGAAGAACCCUAACCUGAGAGAGCGCCGCGCCUGGGGAGAGGCUACAUACAAAAAUGACCGGCUCGGCUGCAAAACCAAACAGCUUGUCAUUCCUUUUUUUACACCAUUACGUGGCUAGAAUUAACUGGCCACCGCCUAAGAGGCUAAGACUAGUACAAGUGAAAAAAAUAAUUCAUUCGCUCCAACUUAAAAUCUUUAAUUUUAGAAAAAAUCAUCCAACUUAAAAUCUUUAAUUAAAAUUGAAAAAAUUCAUUCAUUCAUCACAUCGGUCACUCUCUAUAUAAAAAUAUCUAAAGCCUUUAGUUGAAUGAAGUAACAUUAAUAUUUUUGUAACAAUAAAUAUUACCGCUAAAAGAAAAAUUUAUUGCUACUAUCUUUUGUCAUAGCAUAUGCAGUUGAUGAGAUUUGAGUGCUCUAGUUUAGUACGAAUUAAGGUGUUCCACUGAAGUAUAGUUUAUAAUAAUCAUAUGGAUCGUACCAAAUACACACUUGACCUAAUUGAGAUAAAAUCAAAGGAUGACACGAUUGCAGAAGCUUGUCAAGGGUCAAAUUAUAUGUGCACACCACCAAUAAUAAGAAGGCUAAAGGUCACGCAUGGGUCAAAUUAAAUGAUCAAUCACUUCAUUACUUUUAUACUCAAUAGAGAUGUCAAGUACAUUCUUUUUUUUUCCUACUUCCCCUUCAUGUGGUUUAGUGUAACGCACAUUAUAUAGCGCCAAGCAAAAUAAUUGAACAAAAAGCUUGUGUCAAAUGUUGUCUAAUCCUAAAGGACCCCCUUAUCCUUCUGCAUCAGUACUAGCUACAAGACGAAUACUAAAGGAUAUAUAGGACUUUAUUAUAAGGAGAGAUGUCAACAUUCUCAAAAGCAAAAAUUAACAAUACAAGAUUUUUUUAUGUGCUUCUAGAGAUACCUAACGUUGAUGAUGUCUUCAUCACUUGUUCAUUAUCUCUUUCUUUCCGAGACGGAACUAGAGUUCUAGUUACGAAUUCGAUAAAAUAUCUACAUGUGUUAAAGAGAUUCACUUAAUAUGUAUAAAUUGAUUCAAAACUGAUAAAUUUAAAAUUUUGAGUAUGAUUUAUCAUGUUUACAAGUGUCAUUUUGUAUUACUUAUUACUCUAGUACUAUUGCAGACAUUGAUGUCAAUAUUCGGUUGGCAUCUUUUAGCCUACAACAUAGCCUGUCAAAUGGGCAGCUUUAACAUAAUUCUUAGUAACAUUAAUAUGCUAAAAUUAAGUAUUGUUCUAAGUCCCAUCACUAAUUAUUGGUAUCUUAUGAUAAUCUGUUUCUCAAUAUUGUUCUAAUAGUAUAGCUAUUUGAGUGGAAACUAUUAUUACUUUGUUAAGAAUAGAAAGGAGAGGUGGAAUUUAAAAAUAUAUAGAUAAAGAAAUAAGGGGGGAAUCCUUUCUUUUGAUUCUAGCAUGUGCUCGUUUAUUUGUCAAACAACAAUAAUUUUAGCUGAUAAUUAUUGUGAGAAUAUAACAACAUAUAAUCGGUCUGAAGAGAAUAGUUUGUAUUCAGAUCUUACACCUAUGAUCUUGUGAAGAUAAAAGAGGUUGUUUAUGAUGGAUUCUCAAAUCAAGUAAAGAAUUCCAAAACAUGUAUGAAAAGGGAAUAGUAAUAGUGAAGAAGUAAUGAUAAAAGUAAUGGUGAAAAGAAUACUGAUAAUGAAAUUUAGACAACGUUAGACUACCUAGUAACCUUCUAUCAUAAUCUUUGACCUACAUACUCUUAUCUAGGGUCACAUACUUAAUUAGUAAAGUUACAAGUAUGUCAUGUAAUGCCUAAUCACCUCUCCUCAAUAUUAUUAUGAAAAUAUACAUCACUUAAUCAUUGUAAAACCCCAAAUGUGAGAAUACAAAAUAUGUCUCGCAAUUAUUGAUUUAAUUAGUGUAAAUAUCAAAUACGAAUAAAUAUCGUAAUUACCUGUUUAUUAAUUGUUUUCAUUACUUGCAUUGUUCUGCAUCAAAACUGCACUCCUAUACAAUAGAGAGUAUCAAAUUUCAUGCUUUUAAGAAUUAUUUUAUCUCCUACAUACUUGGCAAUUGGAAUGAACAAAGAAAGCCAAUACAUGAAGAAAAAAUAUUGCUAAGAAAUCUUGGUCAACAUUUUCCAUUUUUUUUUUAAAAGUAAAAAAUUGGGGUAGGGGUAAGGAAAAAAGGGGAAAGAGGAUCAAAAUAGGACUUUCGGGAGUGAAAAUUCCUAAUAGCAAAUCAAUUGAACGACUAAGAUAUUCCGAUUAUUUCAUAAACAUAUAAAAAAAAUUUGAAACAUCUAAAUGGAACCCUCUCCCGGAGCAAACUCAAGCACUUGCUAUUCUUCGUGGCCCAACCCAAAAGUAUAUAUUUUUUUCCAAAAAGAAAAAAGUAUCAUGUGCAUUGUAUAUUUGACUUAAUUAUGCGUAAUUGACAAACUAAUGUUAAUGUCUCAUGUUUGUAUUGUUUCGAAAAUACUUUUUUUCUAUGUUGAUUUUGCACAAAUAUCUUAUACCAAAAAUAUUAUUAAAUCCUAGACGUCAAAAUAAUCAUAAUAAAGAAUAUUGAAAUGUGUAUAGAGUAGGUAGCAUAGGAAUUGAGUGAGAAUCAUGAGAAUUGAUAUUCUUUACAAGCCAUAUCUACCCAUGAGAUAUCGCCGUACUGAUGGGCCUUAAGGGUCACUGUGGGCCGGAUACUGCUCUAUGCCUCUAUGGUCAUUUCACUUGGGCUAUUCUAGAGGUGGCAAUUGGAGUGGGUUGGGUCAAAUUUGAACGGGUCAUAAUGGGUUAAGAUAAUAAAUGAAUCAAAGUUUGAUUUUACCCAAACUUAAAGUGGUUUGGAUUGAUUUGGCAGGUUGAAUUUGAUUUUUCCACAUUUCAUGUGAACAUUCUUCUACAUUUCGCAUAACGUAAUCCAUGUAUCUUGAUACCAAACACAUUUUGAAAUACAAAUACAUCGGGAAAAAGGCGAGCGAAAGAGUCAUGAGAUUCUCAGAUACAUGCAAAUCACACUUAGAGAGUGUAUAUGAAAUAAACUACACCUAAUUUGAUCCAUAUUUAUCUGAGAUACACGUAUCAUUUUUUUCAACUUUAACUACAAAAUAAUUUAACUUUUUUAAAACGUCAACUUCUAUCCUCUUUCUUUUUUUGUUUCAACUUCAACUAAAUAUUGUUCAAAGGUCAAAUAAUAUUUUAUAUAGCUUAAAAUAUAAAAGGAGUAAGGAUAAAAUAGUAGGAGUACGGGGAAAUCCCCAAAAAGCUGGAGUGAACAAUAUAAAUGGGCCAGGGGCCUGUUGUUCUCAGUUGGACUAUUAGGUUUACUUACUUAAGGACAUACUUUUACUUCAUUUAGCAAACUUCUUAAAAGCCCAAAUAUGGGCCUGAUCCCUCUUUACUUUUCUAGAAUGAUUACCCAAUCUACAUUAUCAUCACUACUUUUCCCUCUAUUAGCAACAACAAACUUUUUUUUUGCUUGAUAGAAAGUGAAGAAUUUAAAAUACACACAAUGUCACUGUUAAAAAAUUAUGUCUCAAUUUAUAUGAAUUAGUUUGACUUGCGGUCAGGGAUGGAGCCAGUCUUCUGUUAGGGGUUCAUUCGGCGGAAAAUAUUACUAUUUAUAUAUGGUUUAAAUUAUUUUUUAUGUAUAUAUAUAGUAGAUGUUGAACCCCUUUCAAUUAGUUCGUGUGUUUAGUUCUUCAGAUUUUGAAUCCCCUUAAAUAAAAUCCUAGCUCCACCACUGCUUGCGACAUAGAAUUUAAAAAAAAAAAAAAACUUUUGAAUUUUGUGGUCUAAAAUAUGUCAUAGAUGUUUGUGUGGCUAUAAAUCAUUUCAUUAAAAGUAAAAUAAACGUUUUAAAAUUAAAUUGUUACAAAAUAUAAAAGUGUCAUUUUUUUUACAACGGACUAAAAAGAAAUGUGAGUCAUAUAAAUGGGGACAGAAAAUUUAUCGUAGAUAUUUUGAUUGAAUUUGUAAGAAAAGAUAAAAUAGUAUUUUUUUCACUAGAGAAACUAUUUCCUACCAUACGUUUUUCGGUGAGCUGGUUCGGUGAAAAAAUUAUAUUUUAGAACAUAAAUUUUCAAUUGAUUCAUGAUGAGAAUAACCUUUAUUUCUAUUAGUAUUUGUAAUAGGAUUAUGAAAUUUGUUUCACUAGUCAAAUAAUAUAUUCACAUGUAAAGACAAAAAAAACUACACUGUAUAAGAACCCGUUUGGAUUGGCCUAAAAGUCUGUCAAACCUACUUUUAAGUCAGUUUUUAAUUUCUGAAAGUGUUUGGAAAAUAUAAAAAAUAACUUAAAAUAAGUCAAAAAUGACUUAAAAUAAAUUAUGAAGUAUUUGGCAAAGUAAAAAAUGACUUAAAAUAACUCAGAAACCAAAAGUAGGUCUCCCCCUUACUUUUUUAUUUUUUGACUUAAAUAUCAUUUCAAUUUGACUUUUUUAUUUUUGAUUUAAAAGCUAUUUUUUUAAGUCAUUUCAAACGGGCUCUAAAUCUAAAGGAAAGAAGACAAAAAAAAUUCCGUGUCUCCUUUUUGUUGCAGAGAAUGAAGCCUGGAGUUCCACACACUCCUCUUUUUAAUAUCGUAAAACGACAAAACAAUUUAAGGAAUGUCCUAAUCAUUGCGUCUUUUUUUUUAAUCCCUAAUUCAAAAAAACAUAUAACUAAUUACUCCAUAUCUCUUUAACAUGAGUAUCGGUUUACCCACAUGGGUGUCCAAUCUAGUCUAGACAGUGGCGGAGCCAGAAUUUCUAAUUAAGAGUUUAGAAUCUGAAAAAAUAGACACAAAAUAGUUAAAAGAGCUUCGACAUCUACUAUAUAUACUUAAAAAUUAUUUUAAUCAUGCAUAUAUAAUAUAAUCUUCGGUCAAAGGAGGUUCAAAAAUGACCCCCGAACUAUAAGGUGUCUCCGCCACUAAGUCUAAGGUAGUAAUUAUGAUAUGCUUAAAAAAUAUAUUUUCAUACAAAAUAUUUUUGUUUCGUACCAAAUACACGCUGAUAGUUGUAAAGUUACAGCUUCAUUCAGGACAAAGUGUUUGAUUCAAAUGAUAUCUGCAUUUCUGGAUCAUAAUCAUAUUUACUCUGAGUUUUAAUCUAUGCAUGAAUAUGUAAAUAAAGUUUUACAAUUAAACCAUUUAUAAAAUGUUUACUAAAUCUCCUGAUAUACAUUAUAAAAAUAAUAACAACAAUAACAUGGCAGAAGCACUAGGAAGCCUUGCUAAGUUUGGAGGGAAAGUUUGUAACUAAGUUUAAUUUAUUUAUUUUGGUAGUAGAUAGUUAUAAAUAUUGGGAUUCUUAAGGUGUAAAUAAAUGAGAAAAAAGACAUAUUUUGAAUUGCACCUCUUUAUCUAACUCUUUCAUUGUUUAUAAAUUCAAAAAUCUCUUACCUCAUAUUAAGGGUCUUUUUUUUUUUUUUGACUUACUGUUGCAAACACAGUUUGAUAACAAGAUCAUGGUAUGUAAUAUAUUUUAUUUUUGAGUUAAUCUUAUAUUCUGUCUGUAGAAGACUAAAAAAUCCCAGUUAUUUCUACUCCUUUUAAAUAAAAUAAAAACUAAAAUCCUUGUAAUUUCUACUCUUUUUGUAACUCAAUUUGAAGAUAUAAAAACCUAACCAUUUUAUUAAAUUUAUUUUAAAAAAAACAUAAAAACAAAAACAAGAAUUAUUUUAUCUCAUAUCAACUAUUUUUGUUAUUUUCACUUCACAAUACAACACCACUCAAGGCACAACUUUAUUUUCAUAUAAAAAAAAUGCUAGUUUUAGCUAAAAAAGUAGAAAAUAAAUAGUUCUAGAAGAAGAAUGAGAAGUGAUUGAAACUGACCUUAAAUCAUGCCCUAAUAAUAUUCCAUCUUCAUUUCUUUCAUAUUUUGUACAAUUUCUAGCUGAUAAAAAAAAAAAAAGUCAUUAACAAGUACUUACCACUUAUUACAUAUUAUAUAUGAUGAUUUUGAGAGGAAAAAAAAUGAAAACAUUUAAUUAGCAUAAUGAGAUUCCAUAUUCUUAUUCUUUCAAAUUCAAAAACCUCUACCUUAUAGCUUUGCUUGAGCCGUUAGCCAUCGAGAAUCGAGUAGAUAGGCCAUAAUACCUUAGGGUUCGAACAAAAUCACUCAUUCUUCUAUUAUAAAUAGAUGCACGACACCUUCAAACCAGGGCCGAUUUUAAAGAGUAGAGAAAUCGACACGUGUCUAAUGUCCCAAAAUUUAAAGAGGACCAUUAAAAAAAAUACUCAUAUAUUUAGGUGGUACCAAUGAAAUACAGUUAAAGUAAGAAAC